rnacentral:rRNA from 1 species
AACGAACGCUGGCGGCAGGCCUAACACAUGCAAGUCGAGCGCAUCCUUCGGGGUGAGCGGCGGACGGGUUAGUAACGCGUGGGAACGUGCCCUUUUCUUCGGAAUAGCUUCGGGAAACUGAAGGUAAUACCGGAUACGCCCUAUUGGGGAAAGAUUUCUCGGAGAAGGCUUCGGCCGCUUCUGGAGGGGCUUGCGGUCGAUUAGCUAGUUGGUGGGGUAAUGGCCUACCAAGGCGACGAUCGAUAGCUGGUCUGAGAGGACGGACAGCCACACGGGGACUGAGAUACGGCCCCGACUCCUACGGGAGGCAGCAGCUAGGAAUCUUGGGAAUGGGCGAAAGCCUGACCCAGCAACGCCGCGUGGGCGAUGAAGGCCUUCGGGUCGUAAAGCCCUUUUGAGGGGGAAGAUGAUGACGGUACCCCUCGAAUAAGCCACGGCUAACUACGUGCCAGCCGCCGCCGUAAUAC